ensembl:snRNA U2 U2 spliceosomal RNA
AUCACUUCUUGGCCUUUUGGCUAAGAUCAAGUGUAGUGUGUGUGUGUGUUUGAUUGAUCAUUGUGGAAACAGAAUUAUUAUCUUCAUCGUCUUUUCAUCGAAGAAGGAUCUUUACAUGUUUCUAAAGGUUCUUGUGGAUAGUAUGUGUCUUUCUCAAGUUCAAGCACACUCCUGGUCAGAGAUU